UGGGGAAUAUUGGACAAUGGGGGAAACCCUGAUCCAGCGACGCCGCGUGAGUGAAGAAGUAUUUCGGUAUGUAAAGCUCUAUCAGCAGGGAAGAAAAUGACGGUACCUGACUAAGAAGCCCCGGCUAACUACGUGCCAGCAGCCGCGGUAAUACGUAGGUGGCAAGCGUUAUCCGGAUUUACUGGGUGUAAAGGGAGCGUAGACGGCACUGCAAGUCUGGAGUGAAAGCCCGGGGCUCAACCCCGGGACUGCUUUGGAAACUGUGGUGCUGGAGUGCAGGAGAGNUAAGUGGACUUCCUAGUGUAGCGGUGAAAUGCGUAGAUAUUAGGAGGAACACCAGUGGCGAAGGCGGGUUACUGGACUGUAACUGACGUUGAGGCUUGAAAGCGUGGGGAG
rnacentral:rRNA from 1 species